rnacentral:lncRNA from 1 species
ACGGACUAGUAGCGCCAUAAAUGCACACACAUCAAAUACUCUCAGAAAUCUAACCAACUCCCAUCUUUCUACCAAUCCUAUCGUAAUCUGCGUGAAACUCAUUACAAGCCGUCAUUCCACUUACGCGCUCUUACAUUUAUCACAUCUUUCACAAGACAAACAUAAAACCAAUGAAUGAAUUUCAAAGACACGCAACAAGAGUUGAAGAAUUAAGCGCGAAGCUGGUGCGAGCAUAGUAAAUACUAUGUAAGUCACAAUCGCCGAAAUGCGGCAUAUUUUUGUUUUACUUAUUUAUUUAAGAGUACGAGUACAAGUAUUUAUGUAUAUUUAUUUUCCAUUUGGCCGUGAAAGUGAAAGGCUCAAGAAAGCUAUUAAGCCGCUCGCCUAACUAACUAGCGGAGCUGAAUGAUGCGCUGGCGAGUUGGCGGAAUCGGUGAAGAGCAUUGUUGUUGAUGUACUGUGCACUCGCUGCAGUGUUUAUCUUUCGGUCUGUCUGUCAUUCAGUCAGCCACUUAGUGAUUUUCUUCUUUUCUUUUCUUUAUUUUGUGUACUGCAUCGUUAACACUUUAACACACCUUUCACUCAACACCUCAGCAGACAAAAAACAAAAAUAAAUAAAUAAAAAAAAAAAAAUCAAUUAUUUACAAAGUUUUAAUGCGAUCCCUUGAAUGCGCUGGCUCGUUGUUGCUAAUGAAUUGAAAGCAUUUGCAAGCAUUUCAAUGGCUUUAUUCACUGGCAAUCAGCUGAUUGACAUCUUCAUUUGCAACUUCAACUCCAACACAAGCAAAUGUAAAACAAAAUGUGCAAACAUGCAACGCAUGUGACAACAACAUUCGUGAAAACGAGUAAUAUACGUAAAUUUGUAUGUAUGUACAUCAAUAUAUAUACGACACAAGAACGAUGACAACAAACUCUCCUUAGCCAACUUCACAGAACGUGUUGUCGCAAACAAAAGACCAUGGAUGAGCAUGUGGUAAACUGGUUAUGGUUUAUGUAGUAAGUAAAGGAGCACAACCGCAAACUAGUCACUAGCCGACAUAUGUACAUACAUACAGACACACUGGUCGCAUUGCCAAGUCGUGCGGUUGCAUUGUGCCAACAAAAGGAAGUGAGCCAAUUGUUGACACGCCACCGAAGCAAAAUGUUGCACGAGCUGGUUGGUUUGUUGGAAAUAAAUAUAGACUUUUGCAUAAAAAAAAUAUUAAUAUUUGUAUGUGUACGUAAAUAUAAAUGGAAAUGUUGCAUGAAAGCGGCCAACAAAUAAUAAUAUGGAGUAACAACAAACUGUGAACCAGUUUCAUAUUGACUUCAUUUCCAUUGUUUUGUUGCUGCUUAGCCGCGAAAAGUGUGUCUUCUUUACUGACUUAUGAGAUGUACAUGUGUAUAUGACAAGUAAGCGUGGUUUUACUGUUGCUGAUCAUACUUUGGCUUGGAAGAUUCUACGAAACCCACUUUGAACGGAAGCGUUAUUGGUGGCCGUUUAUUCGGAACAAUCCACAACACAUUGUUUGGUUAUAAUUGGUUAGCAGCUUACAUGUGUACAUAUAAGCAAAAAUUAAAUAAACAAUUAAAUUGUAUUCACUUUCAACUUGCUUUUAAUACAAAUUAAUGUUUUUCUUAGCUUUACAUUAAAUAGUAAAUGCUUUGCUCUCAAUCACAAUCAUUUCAUCACUCCGUUGUCUGUCACUGUCAAAGCAUUGCGACAGUUUAGCAGCUUAAUUCGUAUUGCCUUGGCGCUCAAACCAUUCAACACCUUUUAUAUUUGUGCAAUUUUGUUUUCCCCCCAAAAGCAUAUUGACAGAUGUCAAUCAAAAUCAAAUGCCGAAAAAAUGUGCUAUUUUAUUCCCGUACAAACUGCGACAAAAAAAUUAAUUUAUAGCAAAAAAAAUAUGUAUAUAGAUAUAUUUAUUGCACAUAAUUACGUUACACCAUGCAAGCAACGAGUAAUGCAUGAAAAUUACGCGAAAUAAUAACAACAACAUUUUGAGUAAAUAUCGCCAAUAGCUGCUAAUUAGUGUCAAUUGAAAAAAUUUAACAAGCAAUAAGCAAUUGCAGGUAACCUGCUGGGAGUUGGGCCAGCAGAUGUAAGCAAAAAAAGAGCAAACGAGUGUGUAAAAUACAAAACAAAGUUGUAAAAGUGAAAUAAUCAAUCGUCAAUGUGUGAUUCGUCAGUUGUAUUUCGUAAAUACAUAAAUAAAUGCAAUUUUAAUUACAACAAGAUUAUUUUUGGUAACAAUACACAAGAUUACAUACAGAUUACAACUGCAUUAAUACAAUUAACCCCAUUAAUUAUCACUAAAAGUUGAAUAAAUUGUCGGCUGGUUUUUGUUAUGAUUUAGCACGCUGUGAUUUCUAAUUGUUUCGAUCUGACAAUUGAUUGAUUUCAAAAGUAAUUAAAUUUAUGAACGUGCUCUUAAAUUCAUUAAUGAUUUAGCAGACGUUUUGAUUAAUGCAUGCGGAAAUAUAAAAAUUUGAAGGCUACUUAUCUGCAGAGGCCCAUAGUGAAUAGAAGAGCACAAAGUUAGACAUCUUAACACAUAUUGAGUGUAAAUUAAACGGUUGUUUUUUGACUCGUGGUUUUC